ACCCACACAGAUCCAACUGUAGAAUUGGGACCAAAGGACUGAACCAAAAUGAAUUGGGAUGUUCAGUCCCCUCACAAGGCCAAUCCCUCUUUGCAUUAUUUUAAAUAAAUUUAGAGAUGUUCCCAUGGAAAUUUUAAAUUUGAACAGACUUGCUACUGAAAUACUGUAUCCACAGAACAGGUAUAGCUUGAGCAGCAAUUGUGAAAGCUUCGUUGAGAAUUGUCAGCUUGUCACAUUUUAUGUAUAAGAGGUUCUUUGUUCCAAAGGGAUAAACUGUUGUUGUCUGAAGGAAAAUGUAGAGUAUUACAGAUAAAGGAGGGGUGACUGUUGAGCCUUUUCCAGCUGUUAAAUAUGAUACCUCUGAAUCACUCUGUGCCUUCCAACCUGGAACGUGAAAGAGCAGAACUGCUGUUAAAUCUGAGAACUGUGAAAAGCAUUCGUCAAAGCAGAGUGGCUUUCAGACUGCGUGUUAUGACCCGGUACUGGCUCGUGGGAUUAAGGCACGGGGUCACGGCAGCUCUGGUCAGCACUGCCGACUGGGCCUUUAAAAGUUUUCGGCCAGUGGGAGCUGAGGGGCAGUGCCUGUGGGCAAGAACUGCACAGAACCGCUUGUGCACCUCCGCCUAGAAGCCGGACCUGCUGCUGGCAACUUCCAAGGCGCAGCGCAGUCCGCAGUGCCAGGACAGGCAGGAAGUCUUGGCAUUGACUGGGAGCCACCUGAGACUCUGAACCCAAAUCCAAGCUUCAGGGCAGGCACCCUAUCUGUAAUGGACUGAACCAAAACCCUGGAUCUGAAACACCUUCUCCACGUGCUGCAUGUAACUUGCAAGGUUCGAAAUCCAGAUUCUGAAUUGAAUUUUGUGGCUCAGGCACAUCUCUAAUCAGAAACCAAAGUCUUUUAUUCAGUCUGAGGAAUAUAUUCAAAUUUAAGCAAGGAUGCUGUUUAUAGCUUUGAUCAUUUUAGUAAGCACAUUAUCAAGGACAUUGAACUAAGUUCAUAUGUUAAGACUUUAUCACUGGUGUGACUCCAUUGACUUUGCUGGAGUUCCAACAGGGAUGAAUUUGGUCCUUGGUCUUUUGUUGAAAAAAGAAAUGCAACAACUAAAGGAAAGAUUAUUUUGUUUGUAUUUUUCUU